GUGGGGUUUUCCCCCUAACCUUGCCCUUCUGCCCUUUGUGGAUUCUCCUGGAAUGGUCCACAGGCAUCUAUAUCCGCUGUUCCCCAAUCCCACCAGCAAGGGGCGCGCGAGAUGAAACAGUUCUGUCCUGGGAUGUACCACUGAGGGGUAGCGGUAAGACCACCCACUCUGAAAGGGAGAAAUAUGAGUGGGCAAGUGGCAUCAACAUUGGGACCUACAAAGCAAGAUUGCUCCCAGGUGGAUGAACCUGUGGUUGUGAGUAACCUUACCAUUUGGUGUUUUCUGUUAGCACAAGUUUAUUUUUGAGAAAAUGAUGUUAAGUAGUACAAAUGUGGUGAUAAAGGUCUUCCAUGCUGAUAAAGGGUGACACUUUGUCUUAGGAAGGAACAUUGAUCCAGAUAUACUAUAGUCUGGCGUUGCCUGGAUGAUUAUACUGUUAAAUUCCCUGGAAAUGUGCCCAGUGACUCCCUCCUCCUGCUUAUUAACAACAGGCUGAGUACUUCCAUCCCAACAUAGACUUAAAUAACUUCCAAAGUCUUCCUGGAUAACUCUUAUGGGAGCUAACUCUUCUCUGUGGGAAGAGUAACUUUAUUAAAAGUAAGUACAUAGAAUUGUGUUGGGAAAAUGUUGUUAGUUUUAAUUAUGAUCAGAUAUAUCUAUGUAUUAUGUAUAUUUAUGCUAUUAGAUGUAUUAACAAAAAAGUUUUUAUUUGCAUGCACUCUCUACUAGGACCAGCAGCCCAGUGUUGAGCAAGCCUCAACAAGAGGAACUGCCAGCUGAGAUUCUGGAUAUCACACCUAGAAAGGAGGAAGUACAUGUAGAGGAUCCAGUGAAUCGUGAUGAAGAAGAGGAGAAGGAUCCCUUUGAAGAUUCUGGCCUGGAAGCUGAUCUCCAGCAAUUGGCUCUGGCAAAGACUGGGGGUGAAGGUGGAGAUGGUCCUGAUGUGAGGGAGGAGUUUGCAUCAAAUACAGAGCCUGUUGAAAUGCCAGAAGCAGGUAUGUCAUCCAUUCAGAAAGUAAUUUAUGUGGUUUCUGUUUUUCAGAAUAUUAUAUCUUUACUAAUAUAGAGGGAACAUUACUAUUAUUUUAAUAAUAGAGUUCACAUAUUCUUUGAAAGAUAGUUCAGACCCCAGAUGCCUGAAUGCCUGACUUAGAGACUUUCAAAUAAAGAAACAGAGAGGAUCA
rnacentral:lncRNA from 1 species